rnacentral:rRNA from 1 species
CCUACGGGAGGCAGCAGUGGGGAAUAUUGGACAAUGGGCGAAAGCCUGAUCCAGCCAUGCCGCGUGUGUGAAGAAGGUCUUCGGAUUGUAAAGCACUUUAAGUUGGGAGGAAGGGCAGUGGCUUAAUACGUUACUGUUUUGACGUUACCGACAGAAUAAGCACCGGCUAACUCUGUGCCAGCAGCCGCGGUAAU